rnacentral:misc_RNA from 1 species
AAACAGUCGUAGAAAGGAAACAAGAACCGGUUGUCUAGCAAUGAUAAGGCUGAGGUUAGUGGAAUCUAAUAGGUGGAGGGUGGAUGAAGUCAAGCUUGAACACAACCACUCAUUUGAUCCUGAGAGAGCACAAAAUUCCAAGUCACACAAGAAGAUGGAUGCUGGGUCUAAGAGGAAGGUAGAGCCAACUCUUGAUGUGGAAGUGCGGACAAUCAAAUUGUAUCGGACAGCUGCUGUAGAUCCACUUGGUUAUGGAAGCUCAAACUCUAAUGAAGGGGAUAGUAGCCACCCUAUAGAGAGGUUGAAGCGUUUGAAGCUUAAAAAGGGAGAUGCACAGGUCAUAUAUAAUUAUUUUUGUCGGGUUCAGCUGACAAAUCCAAAUUUUUUCUACUUGAUGGAUCUCACUGAUGAGGGGUUUUUGAAAAAUGUAUUUUGGAUUGAUUCGAG